UGCCAGCAGCCGCGGUAAUACGGAGGGUGCAAGCGUUAAUCGGAAUUACUGGGCGUAAAGCGCACGCAGGCGGUUUGUUAAGUCAGAUGUGAAAUCCCCGGGCUCAACCUGGGAACUGCAUCUGAUACUGGCAAGCUUGAGUCUCGUAGAGGGGGGUAGAAUUCCAGGUGUAGCGGUGAAAUGCGUAGAGAUCUGGAGGAAUACCGGUGGCGAAGGCGGCCCCCUGGACGAAGACUGACGCUCANGUGCGAAAGCGUGGGGAGCAAACAGGAUUANAUACCCUGGUAGUCCACGCCGUAAACGAUGUCGACUUGGAGGUUGUGCCCUUGAGGCGUGGCUUCCGGAGCUAACGCGUUAAGUCGACCGCCUGGGGGGUACGGCCGCAAGGUUAAAACUCAAAU
rnacentral:rRNA from 1 species